GGGCCCGUAGUCCAGUUUGGCAGGAUGCGGGGUAUGCAUAUGCACCCGAAUCGGGUCCCUGUGGUCGGGGGUUCAAAUCCCCCCGGGCCCA
rnacentral:tRNA from 1 species